UACGUAGGUGGCAAGCGUUGUCCGGAUUUACUGGGCGUAAAGGGCGUGCAGGCGGUCUGUUAAGUUCAGGGUGAAAGCUCCCGGCUCAACCUAGGAACUGCGUCUGAUACUGGAUGGCUUGAAUCCGGGAGAGGGAUGCAGAAUUCCAGGUGUAGCGGUGAAAUGCGUAGAUAUCUGGAGGAAUACCGGUGGCGAAGGCGGCAUCCUGGACCGGCAUUGACGCUGAGGAGCGAAAGCCAGGGGAGCAAACGGG
rnacentral:rRNA from 1 species